rnacentral:rRNA from 3 species
AGAGUUUGAUCAUGGCUCAGAUUGAACGCUGGCGGCAGGCCUAACACAUGCAAGUCGAACGGUAACAGGAAGCAGCUUGCUGCUUUGCUGACGAGUGGCGGACGGGUGAGUAAUGUCUGGGAAACUGCCUGAUGGAGGGGGAUAACUACUGGAAACGGUGGCUAAUACCGCAUAACGUCGCAAGACCAAAGAGGGGGACCUUCGGGCCUCUUGCCAUCAGAUGUGCCCAGAUGGGAUUAGCUUGUUGGUGAGGUAACGGCUCACCAAGGCGACGAUCCCUAGCUGGUCUGAGAGGAUGACCAGCCACACUGGAACUGAGACACGGUCCAGACUCCUACGGGAGGCAGCAGUGGGGAAUAUUGCACAAUGGGCGCAAGCCUGAUGCAGCCAUGCCGCGUGUAUGAAGAAGGCCUUCGGGUUGUAAAGUACUUUCAGCGGGGAGGAAGGUGUUGUGGUUAAUAACCACAGCAAUUGACGUUACCCGCAGAAGAAGCACCGGCUAACUCCGUGCCAGCAGCCGCGGUAAUACGGAGGGUGCAAGCGUUAAUCGGAAUUACUGGGCGUAAAGCGCACGCAGGCGGUCUGUCAAGUCGGAUGUGAAAUCCCCGGGCUCAACCUGGGAACUGCAUUCGAAACUGGCAGGCUUGAGUCUUGUAGAGGGGGGUAGAAUUCCAGGUGUAGCGGUGAAAUGCGUAGAGAUCUGGAGGAAUACCGGUGGCGAAGGCGGCCCCCUGGACAAAGACUGACGCUCAGGUGCGAAAGCGUGGGGAGCAAACAGGAUUAGAUACCCUGGUAGUCCACGCCGUAAACGAUGUCUACUUGGAGGUUGUGCCCUUGAGGCGUGGCUUCCGGAGCUAACGCGUUAAGUAGACCGCCUGGGGAGUACGGCCGCAAGGUUAAAACUCAAAUGAAUUGACGGGGGCCCGCACAAGCGGUGGAGCAUGUGGUUUAAUUCGAUGCAACGCGAAGAACCUUACCUGGUCUUGACAUCCAC